rnacentral:rRNA from 1 species
GACGAACGCUGGCGGCGUGCUUAACACAUGCAAGUCGAACGGAAAGGCCUCUUUCGGGGGGUACUCGAGUGGCGAACGGGUGAGUAACACGUGAGUAACCUGCCCUUGACUUUGGGAUAACUUCAGGAAACUGGGGCUAAUACCGGAUAGGAGCUCCUGCUGCAUGGUGGGGGUUGGAAAGUUUCGGCGGUUGGGGAUGGACUCGCGGCUUAUCAGCUUGUUGGUGGGGUAGUGGCUUACCAAGGCUUUGACGGGUAGCCGGCCUGAGAGGGUGACCGGCCACAUUGGGACUGAGAUACGGCCCAGACUCCUACGGGAGGCAGCAGUGGGGAAGAUUGCACAAGGGGUGGAAGCCUGAUGCAGCAACGCCGUGUGCGGGAUGACGGCCUUCGGGUUGUAAACCGCUUUCGCUCAUGACGAAGCUUUGUGUGACGGUAGUGGGUAAAGAAGCACCGGCUAACUACGUG